rnacentral:lncRNA from 1 species
GGUACUAGUGUCGAGCCUCGUGUGACGAAUUUCUGGAUCCCGGGCCCUGGAGAACGUACGUCAAACAGACGAAACAACACAGCGCUGCACCACGUAUAAGC